UUGCUUCGGCAGCAAGUAUACUAAAACUGGAACAAUUUAGAGAAGAUUAGCAUGGCCCCUGUUCAAGGAUGACACACAAAUUUGUGAAGCGUUUCAUUAAAAA